GGAGAGGUGGCAGAGUGGUCGAAUGCGGCGGUCUCGAAAACCGUUAUAGGGGCAACUUUAUCGAGGGUUCGAAUCCCUCCUUCUCCG
rnacentral:tRNA from 1 species